rnacentral:rRNA from 1 species
GACGAACGCUGGCGGCGUGCUUAACACAUGCAAGUCGAACGAUGAAGCCUAGCUUGCUAGGUGGAUUAGUGGCGAACGGGUGAGUAAUACGUGAGUAACCUACCUUUAACUCUGGGAUAAGCCUGGGAAACUGGGUCUAAUACCGGAUACGACCAAUCUCCGCCUGGGGUGUUGGCGGAAAGCGUUAUGUAGUGGUUAUAGAUGGGCUCACGGCCUAUCAGCUUGUUGGUGAGGUAACGGCUCACCAAGGCGACGACGGGUAGCCGGCCUGAGAGGGUGACCGGCCACACUGGGACUGAGACACGGCCCAGACUCCUACGGGAGGCAGCAGUGGGGAAUAUUGCACAGUGGGCGCAAGCCUGAUGCAGCGACGCCGCGUGAGGGAUGACGGCCUUCGGGUUGUAAACCUCUGUUAGCAGGGAAGAAGAGAAAUUGACGGUACCUGCAGAGAAAGCGCCGGCUAACUACGUG